AGCAAAUUUCUAAAUAUACGUAAGAGGCGAAAGUUAAACGUUCUGUCACGAAUGUUACAGAAUCGUAGUCGUCAAGAGCAAGUAAAUCGUAUUACGGUAUAACAAUAAAUUUCAUUGAUGGUCAGUGGAUUCAACGAUCACUUGCAUUUGAUUUUGUGGCUUCAAAAGAUAAAAUUAUUGCGAUCACUGCAGACAAUGUCUCCGUCGCCACUCGCACCGAAGAUCGGCAUUGCAUUACCUGAGGCAAUAAGGGCCCCGUGUUGAGAACUCCACUCAUACUGGACUGAUAAGCUAACGGUGCAGACGAUAUGAGGGGCAUAUGUACAAAGAUCGUCCCUUCAAACGCCGAGAUAAUGAAUCAAAAUCAUAUGCUAGAUAUAGAAGUGAAUUUAUCAAUAAACGAAAAGCGAACCAUUCCGAUCAGAAAAAAUUGAAAAGCCCUAAAGUAACAAAUGAAAAAUCGGUAUAAGUCUCGAAAGAUAAGGCUGAAGAUAAGCCUUCAAAAUCUCGUGCCGGCGCGAAAGCUCGAUAAUAAACUACUUAAUUCUUCAAUAAAACUAGAUAAUAGCUGAUAUAGACGGUGAUUUUUUUGUGCGCGAUAAACAUUUUCAAUGUCUUCCAUGUGUACUGAUCUUGGGCGUACAAAAUACACGGAAGUUAAUGGAAAUUCAAUGUGAUAUUCACGAUGUUUAUGCUGAUGAAAUUGAAAACGAACACCUCCAAAACUACAGCUCUGAGAGUGAGGAAAAAGAUGAACAUGUAUAGUAACAGACAUUAAUUCAAGGGAACAGUCAAAACCAUUCGAAAUUUAUAUGAAAAAAUAAAAAACGUUUUAAUAUUCUCGAUCUAGAAUAUAAAAAGCCAAUAAUCGA